rnacentral:rRNA from 1 species
GACGAACGCUGGCGGCGUGCUUGACACAUGCAAGUCGAACGGAAAGGCCUGCUUUCCCUUGUGGAUUGCGGGUACUCGAGUGGCGAACGGGUGAGUAACACGUGAGUGAUCUGCCCCCAACUUGGGUAUAAGCCUGGGAAACUGGGUCUAAUUCCCGAUAGGACUGCAGGGUGGUGCCUGUGGUGGAAAACGAUUUUCUAGUGGUUGGGGAUGAGCUCGCGGCCUAUCAGCUUGUUGGUGGGGUAAUGGCCUACCAAGGCGGCGACGGGUAGCCGGCCUGAGAGGGUGGACGGCCACAGUGGGACUGAGAUACGGCCCAGACUCCUACGGGAGGCAGCAGUGGGGAAUAAGGCACAAUGGGCGGAAGCCUGAUGCAGCGACGCCGCGUGGGGGAUGACGGCCUUCGGGUUGUAAACUCCUUUCGACCGCGAGGAAGCCACCUGGUUGGAAGGGUGGUGACGGUAGUGGUAGAAGAAGCACCGGCUAACUACGUG